UACGAAGGGGGCUAGCGUUGCUCGGAAUCACUGGGCGUAAAGCGCACGUAGGCGGAUCGUUAAGUCGGGGGUGAAAUCCUGGAGCUCAACUCCAGAACUGCCUUCGAUACUGGACGGAUCUCGAGUCGGGAGAGGUGAGUGGAACUGCGAGUGUAGAGGUGAAAUUCGUAGAUAUUCGCAAGAACACCAGUGGCGAAGGCGGCUCACUGGCCCGGUAC
rnacentral:rRNA from 1 species